AGUGUCCUCCUUCAAAGCUACAUUGCACAGAAACAUUCAGUGUUUUCACAAUUGCAGUAUAUGGAGAAAAUGAAAGUGGACGUUGUCUUUAAGUACCCCACUGUGACA